rnacentral:rRNA from 1 species
UACGUAGGGGGCAAGCGUUGUCCGGAUUUAUUGGGCGUAAAGAGCGUGUAGGCGGCUUUACAGGUCCGUUGUGAAAACUCGAGGCUCAACCUCGAGACGCCGGUGGAAACCGUAAAGCUAGAGUCCGGAAGAGGAGAGUGGAAUUCCUGGUGUAGCGGUGAAAUGCGCAGAUAUCAGGAGGAACACCAAUGGCGAAGGCAGCUCGCUGGACGUGACUGACGCUGGAGACGCGAAAGCGUGGGAGCAAACAGG